rnacentral:lncRNA from 1 species
UUAUGUAAUAGGAAAUGGACUUUUUAAUAGAGAGGCCUUAAAAGUGAUCUAAAAAGAAUAGAUAUAUAGAAUUAGGCUGGAAUACUAUUAAUAGUAAAACGCUUUUUUUGCUAUCAAAUUUUUAACCCUUGGAUGAAAAAUUGUAAGGUCAGGAUGAUAUUAGUCGGUUAGAGUUGAGUGGUCCCCCUAGGGUUGAGUGGUCCCCACUGGGUUAUAGUAUUUAAACCAAUGGUUAGAAAUAAUGCAAAGAGUUGAUCCAAAGGCUAAAAAACUGGUAGCAACAAUGGAAUUUUGCUACUAAUAGUAGCCCAGUCCAACUCUAGAUAUAUAUAUAUAUAUAUNAUAUAUAUAUAUAUAUAUAAAGUUGAGCUUCUGUAUUUUUAAAAGCACAUGAAUAUUUAUUUUUAUGGCUUUUUAAUCGUCAGAUUGUUUCAAGAUUUGCACAGCAUUAGUACUGCACGAAUCUUGAAGCUAUCUGAUGGCUAAAAAACACAAGCACGUUGAGCAAAUGAUUGCAGU